rnacentral:rRNA from 1 species
GACGAACGCUGGCGGCGCGCUUAACACAUGCAAGUCGAGCGAGAACCUGGGCUUCGGCCCUGGGGACAGCGGCGAACGGGUGAGUAACACGUGGGUAAUCUGCCCUUGACAUCGGGAUAGCCCGGGGAAACCCGGAUUAAUACCGAAUAGCCUCCGGAGCCUUCGGGCGCCGGAGAAAAGGUAGCUUCGGCCUCUGGUCGAGGAUGAGCCCGCGGCGGAUUAGCUUGUUGGCGGGGUAACGGCCCACCAAGGCGACGAUCCGUAGCUGGUCUGAGAGGACGAUCAGCCACACUGGGACUGAGACACGGCCCAGACUCCUACGGGAGGCAGCAGUGGGGAAUCUUGCGCCAAUGCGGGAAACCGUGACGCAGCGACGCCGCGUGGGGGAAGAAGGCCUUCGGGUUGUAAACCUCUUUCAGGAGGGACGAAGCUACUCGGGUUAAUAGCCCAGAGGGUGACGGUACCUCCAGAAGAAGCCCCGGCUAACUACGUGCCAGCCGCCGCCGUAACAC